rnacentral:tRNA from 1 species
GCGGGCGUGGCGAAAUGGCAGACGCGCGGGUCUUAGAAGCCCGUGGAGAAAUCCGUGCUGGUUCAAGUCCAGUCGCCCGCA